AUUGAACGCUGGCGGCAUGCCUUACACAUGCAAGUCGAACGGCAGCACGGGUGCUUGCACCUGGUGGCGAGUGGCGAACGGGUGAGUAAUACAUCGGAACGUACCUUAUCGUGGGGGAUAACGCAGCGAAAGUUGCGCUAAUACCGCAUACGCCCUGAGGGGGAAGCGGGGGACCGUAAGGCCUCGCGCGAUUAGAGCGGCCGAUGUCUGAUUAGCUUGUUGGUGAGGUAAAAGCUCACCAAGGCGAUGAUCAGUAGCUGGUCUGAGAGGACGAUCAGCCACACUGGGACUGGGACACGGCCCAGACUCCUACGGGAGGCAGCAGUGGGGAAUUUUGGACAAUGGGGGCAACCCUGAUCCAGCAAUGCCGCGUGAGUGAAGAAGGCCUUCGGGUUGUAAAGCUCUUUUGUCAGGGAAGAAACAGCAGCUCUAACACAGUCUGCGAAUGACGGUACCUGAAGAAUAAGCACCGGCUAACUACGUGCCAGCCGCCGCAGUAA
rnacentral:rRNA from 1 species